rnacentral:rRNA from 1 species
CCUACGGGUAGCAGCAGUCGAGAAUCUUUCACAAUGGGGGAAACCCUGAUGGUGCGACGCCGCGUGAGGGAAUGAAGUUCUUCGGAUUGUAAACCCCUUUCAUGUGGGAGCAAAUUAAAAAUAUAGAUCCACAAUAGGUUGAUACUUCUAACUCAGUACCAGCAGCCUCAGUACUACAAAGGUCGCACGCGUUUUUCGUAAUUACUGGGCGUAAAGCGUAUUUAGGCUGUUUCGCAAGUCGUGUGUGAAAUGCGCGGGCUCAACCCGCGGACGGCAACUGAAACUGCGAGACUAGAGUGAGGGAGGGAGUAGUGGAAUUCCAGGUGUAGCAGUGAAAUGCGUAGAUAUCGGGAGGAACACUAGUGGCGAAGGCGAGUAUCUGGACAAUAACUGACGCUGAGGCACGAAGGCCAGGGGAGCGAAAAGGAUUAGAUACCCCAGUAGUC